rnacentral:rRNA from 1 species
UACGGGGGGGGUAAGCGUUGUUCGGAAUUACUGGGCGUAAAGGGCUCGUAGGCGGCCAACUAAGUCAGACGUGAAAUCCCUCAGCUUAACCGGGGAACUGCGUCUGAUACUGGAUGGCUUGAGUGUGGGAGAGGGAUGCGGAAUUCCAGGUGUAGCGGUGAAAUGCGUAGAUAUCUGGAGGAACACCGGUGGCGAAGGCGGCAUCCUGGACCAUUACUGACACUGAAAAGCGAAAGCCAGGGGAGCAAACGGG